rnacentral:sRNA from 1 species
UGCCUAAACUCAUGAGAAAUCAUGGGCAUGGCAUAGAAAACCACAAGUAUACUGAACCCGUCGUUCAGCUCCAUACUUGUGGUCGUACAGGGAAACCUAUACGUGAGGGCGAAAGCUCUC